GCCAGGCUGCUUCAGCAAGACAAGUACAGCAUCCUGCAGGCCUGCUUCAAGAGCGUCUUCAGCCUGCCUCCACAGCACAGCCGGGGCUCUGCGGCUUUCCUCUACUCCAAGACCCUGUCUGCGAUGGACAGCAUGUUGCAGGCACUGGUCUGCAGCGCUGGCACCCUUGGCGGCGUGGAGCUGCAGAACAUCUUGAAGGUGCUGCUGCCCUACACCUGUUCCCAGCUGCCAGAGGUGCAGAAGAGAGCCAUGGCACAGAUCGCUAGGCUGCUCAACUUCAUCAACAACUCCUCAGGGCUGGAGAUCUGCCCCUGUUUUGCUCAGAGGAAGAUCCUCAGGCAUGAGUG